UCUCCACGUGCAAAAAAAAGACCUACUUCCAGUAGAAAUUUUUUGUAUCUUGUUUUAUUUUCUGGCAGAUGGGUACAGUACAUUUUAUAUGCACUGAACAAGGUACAGUUUAUCAGAAAAAAUGCUAAUAUUUUGGACCACUUUAAAGAUUUUCGUAAAAUACUAUUGUUCGCCAAAUACUGAUCUGCACGAUCUACCCCUUUCAUGUGCUUAUUGUAUUAUAAUAUGCACGUAGGGUUAAUGAUAUUUUGACGGCUUAAUAUCAGAUUCACUAUUUUCUGGUACAGUAUCAUUUUCCAAGUCACCACAAUUUGAUUCACAAUCACUCGGACAAUCAGAUAAAACAUCCGCAUAUAAUUCAUUGAAAGAUUCUUCAUUGAUACGUUCCGUCAUCGCUGAAAUUUCUUUUACAACGAAGGACACAACUUGACGAGUCUUAUAAGCGAGAGACACAACUUGAGGUAUGCUGACCAACAAUUGCAUUGUAUGAUCUCCAACAGCGCACUGAGAAAACGACGUCGAUGC